rnacentral:rRNA from 1 species
GACAGAGGGUGCAAACGUUGUUCGGAAUUACUGGGCGUAAAGCGCGUGUAGGCGGCAAGGCAAGUCGGAUGUGAAAGCCCACGGCUCAACCGUGGAAGUGCACCCGAAACUGCCUAGCUAGAGUCUCGGAGAGGAAGGUGGAAUGCUUGGUGUAGAGGGUGAAAAUUCGUAGAUAUCAAGCGGAACACCGGUGGCGAAGGCGGCCUUCUGGACGAUGACUGACGCUGAGACGCGAAAAGCGUGGGGGAGCAAAACAGG